rnacentral:rRNA from 1 species
GAUCAUGGCUCAGGAUGAACGCUAGCUACAGGCUUAACACAUGCAAGUCGAGGGGAAACGACAGAGGAAGCUUGCUUCCUUUGGGCGUCGACCGGCGCACGGGUGGGUAACGCGUAUCCAACCUUCCCGCAAGUAAGGGAUAACCCGUAGAAAUGCGGCCUAAUACCUUAUGUUUUCCUUUAGAUGGCAUCUGAUGAGGAACAAAGAUCCGUCGCUUGCGGAUGGGGAUGCGUCUGAUUAGUUAGUCGGG